rnacentral:piRNA from 7 species
CUGGGUCGGGGUUUCGUACGUAGCAGAG